AUGCACGCUGGCGGCGUGCCUCAUCCAUGCAAGUCGCGCGCACAGACGAGGAGCUUGCUCCUCUGACGUUAGCGGCGGACGGGUGAGUAACACGUGGAUAACCUACCUAUAAGACUGGGAUAACUUCGGGAAACCGGAGCUAAUACCGGAUAAUAUAUUGAACCGCAUGGUUCAAUAGUGAAAGACGGUUUUGCUGUCACUUAUAGAUGGAUCCGCGCCGCAUUAGCUAGUUGGUAAGGUAACGGCUUACCAAGGCAACGAUGCGUAGCCGACCUGAGAGGGUGAUCGGCCACACUGGAACUGAGACACGGUCCAGACUCCUACGGGAGGCAGCAGUAGGGAAUCUGCCGCAAUGGGCGAAAGCCUGACGGAGCAACGCCGCGUGAGUGAUGAAGGUCUUCGGAUCGUAAAACUCUGUUAUUAGGGAAGAACAAAUGUGUAAGUAACUAUGCACGUCUUGACGGUACCUAAUCAGAAAGCCACGGCUAACUACGU
rnacentral:rRNA from 1 species